rnacentral:rRNA from 1 species
GAAUAUUGGACAAUGGGGGGAACCCUGAUCCAGCCAUGCCGCGUGUGUGAAGAAGGCCUUUUGGUUGUAAAGCACUUUAAGCUAGGAGGAGGCUCCUUCGCUUAAUACUCUCGGAUAGUGGACGUUACACGCAGAAUAAGCCCCGGCUACCUCUGUCCCAGCAGCCGCGGUAAGACAGAGGGUGCAAGAGUUAAUCGGAUUUACUGGGCGUAAAGCGGGCGUAGGUGGCCAAUUAAGUAAAAUGUGAAAUCCCCGAGCGUAACUUGGGAAUUGCAUUCGAUACUGGUUGGCUAGAGGAUGGGAGAGGAUGGUAGAAUUCCAGGUGUAGCGGUGAAAUGCGUAGAGAUCUGGAGGAAUACCGAUGGCGAAGGCAGCCAUCUGGCCUAAUACUGACACUGAGGUGCGAAAGCAUGGGGAGCAAACAG